AUGAAAGAGGCACACCUUUUGGAAGCAUGGCCUCAAAUUAUUGAGGAAGCACGCCACGAAUCUAUCACAAUGCAGGAAUUGAUGGGCUGAUCAUUGAGAACAUGCAUGACGUUCUGUACACAUUCUCAAUUGGACCAGAGGUGUAUGCCUCUAUGACAGCAGAGGGAUCUGUCCAUCUCUGCCUUUUGGAGGUCAGAUCCUUUCUGCAGCAAACAGCUCUUGCUGUUGCACUGGCUUCAGGUAUGGAUUUUAUCAGGGCAGAGGAAUAUGUCUUCUCACAUGUUGCUGAUGAAGGCCUUUUGAAUGCAUGUGUCGGAGUCCUUUUGUAAUACGGCAAGCAAAUAAAGGCUGAACAUGUACAGAUCUUCACUGAUAUAAAAAAGAAGCACAGCUCCCAUGCCCUGACUUCAGAUGUGAGAAUAGUGGAGAUGGCCAGGGCGGCUGAGUGUUUUCCUCUCUGACGGGCUCAUUAUCACUGGAACAGCCACAGGGCUUCAGGCAGAUCCAGUGGAACUCAGAGAUGUUGCAGGGUCUGUAAGACUCCCAGUUCUUAUUGGCCCAGGAGUGACCCAUGACAACGUGGAACACUACCUUGAUGCUAUUGCAAUGAUAAUUGGCUCUCAUUUCAAGAGGGGAGGCGUUUGGGCAAAUGCUGUUGAUCCAGAAAGCGUUAAGAAGUUCAGGGGGAAGGUGCGUUUGCUUCAAAAAUGAAAUCCACUAAAUGUGCUACUAAAAUAAUUGAAUGCAGAACAAUGAAAUACAUUUGGUGGUAAUAAUACAUGUAAUUACUGUAGUUGUCUCAUGCCAUUUAAUAAAACACAAAUAAUACCCAAACAAAA